rnacentral:rRNA from 1 species
AGAGUUGUAUCCUGGCUCAGGAUGAACGCUGGCGGUAUGCCUAACACAUGCAAGUCGUACGAGAGUUUUUAACUCUAGUGGCGGACGGGUGAGUAACACGUGAGAAUUUGCCUUUAGGAGGGGGAUAACAAUUGGAAACGAAUGCUAAUACCCCAUAUGCUUUCGAGUGAAAUGGAUUUAUAUUUAUCCGCCUAGAGAGAAGCUCGCGGCUGAUUAGCUUGUUGGUAAGGUAAGGGCUUACCAAGGCGACGAUCAGUAUCUGGUUUGAGAGGACGAUCAGACACACUGGAACUGAGACACGGUCCAGACUCCUACGGGAGGCAGCAGUGGGGAAUUUUCCGCAAUGGGCGAAAGCCUGACGGAGCAAUACCGCGUGAGGGAAGACUGCCUAUGGGUUGUAAACCUCUUUUUUCAGGGAGGAAUCAAUGACGUGUACCUGAAGAAUAAGCAUCGGCUAACUCCGUGCCAGCAGCCGCGGUAAGACGGAGGAUGCAAGUGUUAUCCGGAAUCACUGGGCGUAAAGCGUCUGUAGGUGGUUUAAUAAGUCAACUGUUAAAUCUUGAGGCUCAACUUCAAAAUCGCAGUCGAAACUAUUAGACUAGAGUAUAGUAGAGGUAAAGGGAAUUUCCAGUGGAGCGGUGAAAUGCGUAGAUAUUGGAAAGAACACCGAUGGCGAAAGCACUUUACUGGGCUAUUACUAACACUC